rnacentral:tRNA from 1 species
GGGGUUGUGGCUCAGUGGUAGAGCGUCACCUCACACAUGUGAGACCCUGGCUUCGAUCCUCAGCACCACA